UGUUGAAAGCUUCGGUGGAUACGGAUGAGCUCGCGAGACAUUAGUUAGUUGGCGGGGUAACGGCCCACCAAGACCGCGAUGUCUAGGGGAACUGAGAGGUUGGUCCCCCACACUGGAACUGAGACACGGUCCAGACUCCUACGGGAGGCAGCAGUGAGGAAUAUUGGACAAUGGUCGGAAGACUGAUCCAGCCAUGCCGCGUGAAGGAAUAAGGUCCUAUGGAUUGUAAACUUCUUUUGAGAGGGAGCAAUAAGGUGUACGUGUACACCGAUGAGAGUACCUUUCGAAUAAGCAUCGGCUAACUCCGUGCCAGCAGCCGCGGUAAUACGGAGGAUGCGAGCGUUAUCCGGAUUUAUUGGGUUUAAAGGGUGCGUAGGCGGUUUUUUAAGUCAGCGGUGAAACGCAAGGGCUCAACCCUUGACCUGCCGUUGAAACUGGAGGACUUGAAUGCGGAUGCUGUGGGAGGAAUGUGUGGUGUAGCGGUGAAAUGCAUAGAUAUCACACAGAACACCGAUUGCGAAGGCAUCUCACAAAUCCGUGAUUGACGCUGAGGCACGAAAGUGUGGGGAUCAAACAGGAU
rnacentral:rRNA from 1 species